UGGGGAAUUUUACACAAUGGGGGAAACCCUGAUGUAGCAACGCCGCGUGGAGGAUGACGGAUUUAGGUCUGUAAACUCCUUUUAUAAGGGAAGAAAUUUGACGGUACCUUAUGAAUAAGCACCGGCUAACUCCGUGCCAGCAGCCGCGGUAAUACGGGGGGUGCAAGCGUUACUCGGAAUCACUGGGCGUAAAGGGAGCGUAGGCGUUUUAUUAAGUCUUGAGUGAAAGCUCGCAGCUCAACUGCGGAACUGCUCAGGAAGCUGAUAGAAUUGAGUAUGGAAGAGGUAGGUGGAAUUUCCGGUGUAGGGGUAAAAUCCGUAGAUAUCGGAAGGAAUACCAGAAGCGAAGGCGACCUACUGGGACAUUACUGACGCUGAGGCUCGAAAGCGUGGGGAGCAAACA
rnacentral:rRNA from 1 species